rnacentral:rRNA from 1 species
AGCAGCCGCGGUAAUUCCAGCUCCAAUAGCGUAUAUUAAAGUUGUUGCAGUUAAAAAGCUCGUAGUUGAAUUUCGGGGUCAGUAGAUUGGUCAUGCCACUGGUAUGUACUGGUCUCACUGAUUCCUCCUUCCUGAUGAGCCGUAAUGCCAUUAAUUUGGUGUUGCGAGGAAUCUGGACUGUUACUUUGAAAAAUUAGAGUGUUUAAAGCAGGCUAACGCUUGAAUACAUUAGCAUGGAAUAAUGAAAUAGGACGUUCGAUCUUAUUUUGUUGGUUUCUAAGAUUGACGUAAUGAUUAAUAGGGAUAGUUGGGGGCAUUAGUAUUCAAUUGUCAGAGGUGAAAUUCUUGGAUUUAUUGAAGACUAACUACUGCGAAAGCAUUUGCCAAGGAUGUUUUCAUUAAUCAAGACGAAAGUUAGGGGAUCGAAGACGAUCAGAUACCGUCGUAGUCUUAACCAUAAACUAUGCCGACUAGGAAUCAGACGAUGUAAUUUUUUAAAUGACUUCG